UGUGAACUUUGUGAAUUAUACUUUCAUUAAAAUGUUUCAGAAGGUUUGCUAAUGUCAAACUACACGUGUGACAGAGCUGUCAGUAUACCUAUAUUUCAAUGUUUAUGUUGAAAUUACCUAUCUUCUUUGAGGUAUAGCUUAAAAUUUAGGGUAUGCUCAUCACUUGAAACCAGCUUUAAAUCAAAGUUUUAUCUAUAGUCUUUAUAUUAGAAUUAAAAUCAUUCAUAGGAAAAAUGUGCCAGAGGGUUGAAAUUGCCCUUGUAAAUGUACACUAUUUUUGACAUGCUUGGGUUAGUAUUUUGAAAUGGUGUUCUGGAAGGAAAAUAUGUCUUGAACAAUACUGGUUGACCCUUAAAUUAUAACUAGUGUUAUGUAAAUCACAGAAAAUUGAAAAAAAUCUGGUCCAUACACAAUAUUUUGGACCCUAUGAGGUCCCGAAUGGGGCUUAUUUCAAUGUUGAACCUGUUUACCUGGAAAAACUUAGAAAAUUGAAUAAGUCAAGAAUUUGACUAUGCUCAUCACCCAAAACCAGGUUUUUCUAAUUGCUUUUUCACCUGGGUUUGUGGCAAUGCCAGUUAUGCGACCACGAAAAAUGUGCGCGGCACUUUUUUUGGACACUGAAGAUGGUAACAUUUGGUGUUGUCAUAUAUUGCCAUCCUCUUAUCGUAGCAUAACUUAACUUAUUUUAGUGAAUUUGUUAAAGAGUUGUGUUCACUAUAUGCUUGUAGUAUCUAAGAUUUUUUCAUAGCAUUAUAUGAUAAAUUUAAGUUCUGUUCUUUUAUUUUUAGGUGAUAGUAUCUGUUCAUUCCAGUGUUGGUAUCAAAUUUUGGACAAGUUUCAAUUAUUAUUUCACAUUCCUUUAUUCAAAUAUCCAAGUAAAUGGAAUAUGACAUCAAGCUGGAGGACUAGAUCCUGUUUUCAAACUUGUUUUAUGUAAAAAUAGAAAAUAACAACUUAUUCUGUGUUGUUCUAAUAAAAACCAUUGUUUUUGAUAUGCAUAUAUUUUAAUUUUAUUCUUUGUUAAAAUGUGUACCUGGAAUACUGAAAUCUUUCAGAUCAGCUAACAAUACCUUUAUAGCUUAUAUAGCCAAGUGUUCUAUCUAUUUUUGUUCAGAUUAAACAAAUAAUGGGUAAAAUAUUAGAUAAAAUUUUUUCAAAAAAUAUGAGCUUGCCUGUUUUCAAGGCAUAAAAAGCAAUAAAAUAAAGCAAAAGUACUUAUUUUUUAUUUAAAACCUUUGGAAUGCACAGCUUAAUGUUUUCCACGAAAUAUUACAAAGUUUUCGUUCAUUAAAAUGUUGUUUUAUCAGCUUUAAAACCAGAUAAAUCCUCGAAACACUCCUGAUAUAUGUCGCCAUAUUGAUUUUCUGCGCGCAUGCUCAGACAAAUUGCCUACCUGUUUUACGUGGCAGUGUCCAGUAUUACUCAUUGCAGUAAUGGUGGAUUGGAUCUAUAGACGCCCGUAUACGUAUUUGUCAUUCCAGAUCAUUCUCUGCUGCUAUCGCAGAGAAAAGGAUUGUCAUCCUUUUAAUAUUAGGCCUUCGAAUUAAUUAAGUAGUUCCUAUACCUUGUGGUGCAGUACCUGACUCUUCCACAGUCCCUCAUUCGUACGCGCGGUCGCGUUAAUUUGAGCAGGGCUGAUUUGAGAUUCUAUCGCAUUCCCAUUAAGCACCGCGCUCCCAUUGUUUUUCCACUGAUCUCUAUUCCCAACUGAAGCGACGAGGCAGGUGCAGUACCAGCAUUAGCGUCCAUUAGUGGGAUAACCCCCCUUAAAGAAUUACGAUGUCCAGCAACAGGUGAUCAUAUACAAGUGUCCGCCACUGUUCAUCAGAAGAAGCUAGUAAACUCUUCUUUCUAUCAACUCUUGCAAAUAGUGUGAACCAGUACUAAUUAAUACGUGGUAUUAACAGCACACAAGAAUGAUACAAAACUAGUUUAUUUUACUGCAAAGUAAUUUUACACAUCUGUAUUAAAGACGAUGAAAUUCAGUCAAUAAUUAUAUUAUUAACAUCAAGAAUUAUCUCUGAAACAAGACGUGGACAUAUAAAUCAAUCGGUUGAAAAUUUUGCUCAUUUCUAUAAUUAGCCUUUCUCCCGGCCGAUUUUUCCGCCAUUUUGGGUGUACUGCCUCUCCCACGUUUGAGAGUCUCCGCAACACGAACAAUUUACAGUUACAACUUUUAAAAGUCGCUUUUCACGUAGUUUGAAUUGUCUAGAAUCAUUCACAAGGGCAGACAAUACCCCAAUUCCCAAAAAUGGCGUAUUUUAGCCUUCGUGAGAAAGGCUAAUUUCACUAUAAUUGUGUAUAAUAUAUAUUUACUAACUAUACCGUUAAAUACUUUCUCUUAUUUAUGUGACUAAUCUUACAAAUAAAAUGUCAUAUUCACUGCUUGUAUUCGUGCUUGUAUUGAACGUUGUGUCCUGAAAGUCAAAACUGACAAGCGCUAAAGGUCUUCCUCUAUGCGUGAGGUGAGAAGCACAAUUAUGUCUCUACUUGUUCGUAGAACUGCAAAACCACAACUUCCAAGCCCCCAUUCUAUACAUACGCACGCCCACCAGAACUGCAAAUUAGUGUCGGUCACCGCAUUGUUGGGUCACAUUUGACCUUUCGUCCGAUCAUGGGCGUACCGGAAGGAAAAAUUAGGGGGGCGGAAAGAAAUUUGCCCGACUUUUCGGGAUUAUGCCCGACUAGUACCUAAAAAAUUUUUUCCGGAAAAAUUAUUUCGGCGACCUCACACCCCCCCCCCCGUCGCCAAAAAAAUUUCGGUCAGUGUACCAUUUUAGGGGUAAAAAAAUUUUUCCGGACAUACCAAAAUUUUUCGAAACAUCACACAAAUUUUCCAAACAACACAAAAUUGACUGAAUUUUCGACUAAAUUCACAGAAUUUGUCCCAUUUAUUUUUAGUACAAACCAAAAUUGCCCGACUGUUGAUCAAAUAUUGCCCAACUGCCCAAAAAACUGGGGGGCUACCGCCCCCCCCCCCGCCCGGUACGCCUAUGUGUCCGAUCAAACCUUUUUAUGACCGAUUUUGAAACAUUUUUUUAUGAAAUAAUGAAACAAAGCAAUAUAAACAACAGUUUCCCACUAUUUCGUGCUGCAUUUGAUUAUAAGCCGUAAGAUUUAAUUACAAAUCUAAAUCGCCUUCAAUGUAACACGGUAGUUCUAAUUAAUUAGUUUCUCACGGGCUAUGGUCAGAGCCGACAGAGGAGCAGAACUCCUUCUUCAACACAUGCAUAAAAAAAUAAUUUUGGAUUUUGACCAAUAAAUGUGGAAAUAAGCUUAAACACGAAAACGAGGCUAGAGGGGCCAUGGUCCCAAGCUUAUUUCCAUAUUUAAUAGUCAAAAUCCAAAAUUCUUUUUUAUGCAUGUGUCGACGAAGGAUGUUCUGCUUCUCUGACCAUAGCCCGUGAGAAACGAACUUGAAAUCUAUUCCAUUUAAAGUGGUCCUAAGUUGAAAACAGUGUAGUUGUGCCGUAAUUACCGGAAAGGUCUAUUGAGUUUUGUAAUUCAAUAUUUCUCUUGUAAUUUACACUGUAGUGGAUCGAUACUAUAUGACAAUGAAAGAGAGACUUGGAGCAAGUCUAGGAUGCCCCCUGCUAUUGGCCAGCAACGCAAUUCAGUCUCCUUUUGAAAAAAAACGGUAAUAAACAAAAGUGCCAGGAUGAUAUGCAUCCCUGAUUGGCUGAUUCCUACUUUAAAAAGGGUGGCUUAUUAGAGGGGGUUAUUUAAGCAGCAAAUCUUGAUAGAGGAUUUACAGCAUUCAUGCAUGCAAAACGCUUGGUCCUAUCAUCCCUUGAUAUCCAUAGAGUGUUGCACAGAACAAUUUAAUGUUGCACAUCAGUAGCCUUUCUUGUACUAGCAUCAAGUCCAUUUUCAAAACAUGCAAAAAUCUUUAGUAUUAUUCCUUCUUGAAUGGAUCAGACCAGACUUUCAUCCCUGCAAUGUCAUUAGACUUUUUUAGGUUACUAAUAUUGAAACUA